CCCCUAGAUGUUCUGGGCCGCACGCGCGCUACACUGAACAGUUCAACAAGUCUUAACCUUGGCCGAUAGGUCUGGGUAAUCUUUGAACGCUGUUCGUGAUUGGGAUAGACCUUUGCAAUUAUGGGUCUUCAACGAGGAAUUCCUAGUAAACGCAAGUCAUCAGCUUGCAUUGAUUACGUCCCUGCCCUUUGUACACACCGCCCGUCGCACCUACCGAUUGAAUGGUCCGGUGAAAUCUCGGGUCGGCGGCUUGGUCGCUUGCGUCCGACUGCUGAAACUUGAUUAAACCAUAUCAUUUAGAGGAAGGUGAAGUCGUANCA
rnacentral:rRNA from 1 species